rnacentral:rRNA from 1 species
AUUGAACGCUGGCGGCAUGCCUAACACAUGCAAGUCGAACGGCAGCAUGAUUUGUAGCAAUACAAAUUGAUGGCGAGUGGCGGACGGGUGAGUAAUACGUAAGAAUCUACCUUGAAGAGGGGGACAACCCGGGGAAACUCGGGCUAAUACCGCAUACUACUCUAAGGAGGAAAGCGUGGGCAACCAGGCACUUUAAGAGGAGCUUACGUCCGAUUAGCUAGUUGGUGGGGUAAAGGCCCACCAAGGCGGAGAUCGGUAGCUGGUCUGAGAGGAUGAUCAGCCACACUGGGACUGAGACACGGCCCAGACUCCUACGGGAGGCAGCAGUGGGGAAUAUUGGACAAUGGGGGCAACCCUGAUCCAGCGAUGCCGCGUGUGUGAAGAAGGCCUUCGGGUUGUAAAGCACUUUAGGUUGGGAAGAAGGUAUAGCGCUGUAAGGCGUUAUAUUUGACGGUACCGACAGAAUAAGCACCGGCUAACUCUGUGCCAGCAGCCGCGGUAAUACAGAGGGUGCGAGCGUUAAUCGGAGUUACUGGGCGUAAAGGGCGCGUAGGCGGUUAUGUAAGUGAGUUGUGAAAUCCCUGGGCUUAACCUAGGAAUGGCAACUUAAACUGCAUAGCUAGAGUGCAGUAGAGGGUAG